rnacentral:rRNA from 1 species
UACGUAGGGUGCAAGCGUUGUCCGGAAUUAUUGGGCGUAAAGGGCGCGUAGGCGGCCUUCUAAGUCGAACGUGAAAUCCCCGGGCUCAACCCGGGAACUGCGUCCGAUACUGGGAGGCUUGAAUCCGGGAGAGGGAUGUGGAAUUCCAGGUGUAGCGGUGAAAUGCGUAGAUAUCUGGAGGAACACCGGUGGCGAAGGCGGCAUCCUGGACCGGUAUUGACGCUGAGGCGCGAAAGCCAGGGGAGCAAACGGG